rnacentral:rRNA from 1 species
AAAUGAAUAGACGGGGACCCGCACAAGCAGCGGAGCAUGUGGUUUAAUUCGACGCAACGCGAAGAACCUUACCAAGACUUGACAUCGAGUGCAAUCCAGAGAAAUCUGGACCUCUUCGGACACGAAGACAGGUGGUGCAUGGUUGUCGUCAGCUCGUGUCGUGAGAUGUUCGGUUAAGUCCGGCAACGAGCGCAACCCUUACGGUAUGUUGCCACCAUUCAGUUGGGCUACUCAUAUCGGACUGCCGCGGAUAACGCGGAGGAAGGCGGGGAUGACGUCAAAUCAUCAUGCCCCUUACGUCUUGGGCUACACACGUGCUACAAUGGGCGCUACAAAGAGCUGCGAGCCGGUAACGGUAAGCGAAUCUCAAAAAAGCGUUCUCAGUUCAGAUUGAGGGCUGCAACCCGCCCUCAUGAAGCAGGAGUUGCUAGUAAUCCCGAAUCAGCACGUCGGGGUGAAUGCGUUCCCGGGUCUUGUACACACCGCCCGU